AUUGAACGCUGGCGGCAUGCUUUACACAUGCAAGUCGAACGGUAACAGGCCUUCGGGUGCUGACGAGUGGCGAACGGGUGAGUAAUGCAUCGGAACGUACCCAGAGGUGGGGGAUAACGCAGCGAAAGCUGUGCUAAUACCUCAUGUGAUCUGAGGAUGAAAGCGGGGGACCGCGCAGCAAUGUUUGGCCUCGCGCCUUUGGAGCGGCCGAUGUCGGAUUAGCUAGUUGGUGGGGUAAAGGCCUACCAAGGCGACGAUCCGUAGCUGGUCUGAGAGGACGACCAGCCACACUGGGACUGAGACACGGCCCAGACUCCUACGGGAGGCAGCAGUGGGGAAUUUUGGACAAUGGGCGCAAGCCUGAUCCAGCAAUGCCGCGUGCGGGAAGAAGGCCUUCGGGUUGUAAAACGCUUUUGGCAGGAACGAAACGGUGUCCGCUAAUACCGGGCGAUAAUGACGGUACCUGCAGAAUAAGCACCGGCUAACUACGUG
rnacentral:rRNA from 1 species